AUGUUGUAAAGGGCCACUUAGCAGCACCAGGCUUCUGGACCGGGCCUCAAAGAGCAGAAUAACCCACCGGGGCGAAAACAGUGACUCAAGUCCAGCUCAGGCCCGGCUUUCUUUCUGGAUGGAUUAAUUUGGGCUGUUGACUCACCCUCCCUGGAUCUCCAACACAUUUAGUCGCUCCCACGGGGAUCCUCGCUCUUUCCAGCUUCUCCCAAUUCUCCAUCACCCCCUUGUGAGCUCCCAACAUGCUUUGCAACCACGUGGCAAGCACAGGGAAGCAAUGAGGGCGGGUCCCCCCGAGGAAGGGCAUCUCCCCAGAGUUCUCCAUCCAAGGGCGUGUGCUGGUGGAGGGGCCGCGCCCGCCCCCCGUCCAUCUUGGGUGGACCUGUGGAGUCAAGAGCUCAUCUCUCUAAUUCUGCCCUGUUUGUGCUCUUCCCUUAUCUGGAACGUUCUCAUCUCCAGUGUGGACAAAGUGCCUGGAUCCGGAGCCUGGCUACGGUCGAGAAGGAAAGAGGAACCAGAUGAAGUCACGAGGGCAGAUUUCGCUACACGGGCAAACGGCGGAGCCCCUGUGCACCCGAAAUCCCGGUUCCUCGUUCUCACACGCGCGUGCGCACCCGCCUGACUCCUCUAUCCUCCAGCCGACCUUUUAAAAACAGUUCGGGGGGCGCCUGGGUGGCGCAGUCGGUUAAGCGCCCGACUUCAGCCAGGUCACGAUCUCGCGGUCCGUGAGUUCGAGCCCCGCGUCGGGCUCUGGGCUGAUGGCUCAGAGCCUGGAGCCUGCUUCCGAUUCUGUGUCUCCCUCUCUCUCUGCCCUCCCCCAUUCAUGCUCUGUCUCUCUCUGUCCCAAAAAUAAAUAAAAAACGUUGAAAAAAAAAAAUAAAAAC
rnacentral:lncRNA from 1 species